AUACAAUCUCAUUCCACCUAAAUUCUGAAAUACAUCCACUACUAACUAAAAGAUAUUAUUAUUAUUUGUUCUUGUUUAUUCUCCAGAGUCCGAGAAUAAAGUUUGGUGAAGUGAUCAAAGUUUGAUUACAAGGAAGCGGUGGAUCGGUGUAUACCCACAAGUAAUAUGGCCGAUGCUUUAGUUGUUGAUCGGAAGAAGAGAAGGAGACAUGGGGCUCUCUGAAAAUCAUGUUCGAAGAGAAUGGAUCUAGGAUAAAGUUGAUCAGCCAUCUUGGUUUUGGUUUGCGUUCUGGGGAAAAGGAUCAGGCAGUGAAUGGGUGCUCUUCAGAUCUGAAUGGCAUUGGAUUGGACUUGGAGGAUACUACAGUACAUGCAGUGAAAGCUGAGACAAACUUUGUUGCCAACGUAGAAGAAACUCAUGAAAGGUCAGAAGAAGAAGAAGAAAGUUUCGGCCUAGAUUUUAAUGAUGCCAUCCAGAGUGCUUUGGUUGUUGGAGAUUACAAGGAAGGGGCUGAUGAUGGUGAAUUUUGCGUCUGGCGAUUAGUUAAGUCUUCAGAUCUUUCUCAUUUUCACUUCGGAAGUGUAUUGGUUCUGCUACGCAAGGUGGAAGCCCUUUGAAUAGAAAAGUUCAACAUGUAUCAUCAUCUACCUCAUCCGAUGGGACUAAUGGUGUGAUUGCAAUGGAGUGGUGUCCAAGUAGCAGCUCGUAUCUUCUUACCUGUGCUAAAGACAGACAAACCACUUGCUUGUACACAAAUAAAGCAGAGGUAAGGAAAAUGAACAGAUUAAAAUUUUGUAUUUUUGCCUUCAGUAUUUGAAAUAAUGUCAAAAACAGAUAUUCUUAAGCUGUGGGUAUUUUAACUGACAUGUCUCAUAUGCCUUUGUCUUAAGGUUUUGCUCUUAAGACUUUUGUAAGCCGUAGGUUUUUUAAUCGUAUAUUUCUUUUUCUGAAGAGUUUGUAAGCCGUGAGUUUUGAACUGUGACCCUGUCUUAUGUCUUUGUCAAAAGACUUUGACUUUUGUAAGCCGUGGGUAGUGAAAUAAGAAUCUGUUAUUCUGUUUUGAUUUGUAGUGUUUGUCUUUAGACGGAUUAAACCAUUGGUCGUUAUACUCCAUUUCAUCCAGAUGAUCAAAAACAUAUUUUCUUAAGCCGUGGGUAGUAAAGACUUCUAAGCCGUGG